AGUGUAUAUCUAUAUUGCUGAGGUUAAAAAGCUCGUAGUUGGAUCUGCGUGUCUAGCACCUGGUGCGGUCUUUGAUCGUUACUGGGAUGCGACACAUUGACUGUCGGUUGGCCGUUGAUGCUCUUAACCGGGUGUCAUUGGUGACUGACGAGUUUACUUUGAACAAACUAGAGUGCUCAACACAGGCGUUUCGCUUGUAUAUUUCUGCAUGGAAUAAUAGAAUAGGACCUUGGUUCUAUUUUGUUGGUUUUCGGAAUUGAGGUAAUGAUUAAGAGGGACUGACGGGGGCAUUCGUACUGCGACGUGAGAGGUGAAAUUCUUGGAUCGUCGCAAGACGCACUACUG
rnacentral:rRNA from 1 species